rnacentral:rRNA from 1 species
CCUACGGGUGGCAGCAGUGAGGAAUAUUGGUCAAUGGAGGAGAGUCUGAACCAGCCAAGUAGCGUGAAGGAUGACUGCCCUAUGGGUUGUAAACUUCUUUUCUGUGGGGAUAAACUGAUUCACGUGUGGCUUAUUUUAUGUACCGUAUGAAUAAGGAUCGGCUAAUUCCGUGCCAGCAGCCGCGGUAAUACGGAGGUUCCGAGCGUUAUCCGGAUUUAUUGGGUUUAAAGGGAGCGUAGGUCGCGUCUUAAGUCAGUUGUGAAAUUUUGCGGCUCAACCGUAACAUUGCAGUGGAAACUGGCAGGCGUGAGUACAGUAGAGGUAGGCGGAAUUCGUGGUGUAGCGGUGAAAUGAUUAGAUAUCACGAAGAACUCCGAUUGCGAAGGCAGCUCACUGUAGUGCAACUGACACUGAGGCUCGAAGGUGUGGGUAUCGAACAGGAUUAGAUACCCCUGUAGUC